rnacentral:misc_RNA from 1 species
CAACCACUCAAGCCUGGCUUGGUGUUGGGGUGUGCGGUCCCGCAGCUCCUAAAACCAGUGGCGGUGCCGGUGGGCUCUACGCGUAGUAAAUCUCCUCGCGAUUGAGUCCCCACGGUGGCCUGCCAGAACCCCCCAAUUUUCA